AUUGAACGCUGGCGGCAGGCCUAACACAUGCAAGUCGAACGGUAACAGGAAGCAGCUUGCUGCUUUGCUGACGAGUGGCGGACGGGUGAGUAAUGUCUGGGAAACUGCCCGAUGGAGGGGGAUAACUACUGGAAACGGUAGCUAAUACCGCAUAACGUCGCAAGACCAAAGAGGGGGACCUUAGGGCCUCUGCCAUCGGAUGUGCCCAGAUGGGAUUAGCUAGUAGGUGGGGUAACGGCUCACCUAGGCGACGAUCCCUAGCUGGUCUGAGAGGAUGACCAGCCACACUGGAACUGAGACACGGUCCAGACUCCUACGGGAGGCAGCAGUGGGGAAUAUUGCACAAUGGGCGCAAGCCUGAUGCAGCCAUGCCGCGUGUAUGAAGAAGGCCUUCGGGUUGUAAAGUACUUUCAGCGGGGAGGAAGGGAGUAAAGUUAAUACCUUUGCUCAUUGACGUUACCCGCAGAAGAAGCACCGGCUAACUCCGUG
rnacentral:rRNA from 1 species